AUUGAACGCUAGCGGGAUGCCUUACACAUGCAAGUCGAACGGAGUGGCGAACGGGUGAGUAAUGUAUCGGAACGUGCCCUGUAGCGGGGGAUAACUACGCGAAAGCGUAGCUACUACCGCAUACUAUUGGAGCGGCUGAUAUCGGAGUAGCUAGUUGGUGGGGUAACGGCUCACCAAGGCGACGAUCCGUAGCUGGUUUGAGAGGACGACCAGCCAACGUGGGACUGAGACACGGCCCAGACUCCUACGGGAGGAAGCAGUGUGGAAUUUUGGGCAAUGGGGGAAACCCUGAGCCAGCCAUCCCGCUUGUGCGAUGAUGGCCUUCGGGUUGUAAGGCACUUUUGGCAGGAAAGCGGUACCUGCAGAAUAAGCGCCGGCUAACUACGUGCCAGCCGCCGCGGUAAUUC
rnacentral:rRNA from 1 species